UGUACAUAAGUUCAAGGCAUAUGAAAAAACAGUGCAUUUAAUUUCAGGUUACGAAUUGGGCGUGCCCCUCCGGAUAGAGCACCCUGUGCUGGUAGAGUCACUCCUUUAGAGGAAACAAUAAGGAGAUGCGCUGAUAAACCGUCAGACAAUGUAAUAAAGCCAGAGAUUUGUAUGAGUUUUGAUUCCCUUGGAGAAGCAUACGAUUUCUAUAACUUGUAUUCUUGGGAGGUUGAAUUUGGUAUAAGAUAUGGCAAGAGCCGUUUGAACGUCGAGCGGACAAAGUGUUUGCAAGAGAUCGUCUGUGGAUGCUCGGGAAAACCAGAGCAACAGAAUAGCUGGUCUUGCCGCUGCGAGUGCCCUGCGAUGACACAGUCCGUGGAGUCCCCGACUCAGUCCGUGGAAUCAUCCGGGAAAGUGAACCCAGAGGCACCAGGAUGGACUAAGAGGUUGAGAGUUGGCCGUGCACCCCCUGAUAGACACCGUGCGUUGGCAGAGUUACUCCAUUCGAAGAAACAAUCAGGAGGUACGCUGAUAAGCCAUCAGACAAUGUGGUCAAGCCAGAAACUGGAAUGAGUUUUGACUCUCGGGGAACGUAUGAUUUCUACAAUCUUUAUUCAUGGGAGCUCGGAUUUGGUAUAAGAUAUGGCAAGAGCGAUCUGAAUGUCGAGCUGACGAAAGGUAUGCAGGAAAUUGUGUGUGGAUGCUCGGGGAGGCCUGAGCAGCAAAACAGCCGGUCUUGCCGGUGCAAAUGCCCUGCAAUGUUUUCGAGGAUGGGGCUUACUAGGUCGAGGAAAUUGAAAGGAAGAAGAAGUACAUUGCAAGACACAACAAUGCCGACAACCGUGGGAAGUGGAGCAAGGUUGUUUAUGAGGUGACCAUGUUGGACGAUGGCGAGUGGUUCGAGUGUGAAUGCGGGCAUUUCACUCACAUGGGAAUGCUGUGCUGCCAUGCUUUCAAGGUGAUAGAUUAUGUUGGCGUGACGCAGAUACCGAAGCGGCACAUCCUCAAGAGAUGGACGAAAAAUGCUAGGGACAUCCUGGCCCAGCACCUUGCUCACUUCCAAAGAGACCAAGUGGUGAACCGAUCUUUCAUCUGUCGGAGCUCGAUCCUUUACCUAGAUGCCAUGCAUGGAGCUGGUUAGGUUUGGGGAUUAAUCCGUCAUAACAUAUGCGCUCGUGC